rnacentral:rRNA from 1 species
CAUGCAAGUCGAACGAGGCUGGGCUUUCGAGUUCGGUCGAGUGGCGAACGGGUGAGUAACACGUGAGGAACCUACCCCGGAGACUGGGACAACCAAGGGAAACCCUGGCUAAUACCAGAUGACCCCAGCCGAUCGCAUGGUCGGUUGAGGAAACGCUCUGGUGCUCUGGGAGGGCCUCGCGGCCUAUCAGCUUGUUGGUGGGGUAACGGCCCACCAAGGCAUUGACGGGUAGCUGGUCUGAGAGGACGAUCAGCCACACUGGGACUGAGAUACGGCCCAGACUCCUACGGGAGGCAGCAGUGGGGAAUAUUGCGCAAUGGGCGAAAGCCUGACGCAGCAACGCCGCGUGGGGGAUGAAGGCUUUCGGGUUGUAAACCCCUUUCAGCAGGGACGAAAAUGACGGUACCUGCAGAAGAAGCCCCGGCCAACUACGUGCCAGCAGCCGCGGUAACACGUAGGGGGCAAGCGUUGUCCGGAUUUAUUGGGCGUAAAGAGCUCGUAGGCGGUUGCGUAAGUCGGAUGUGAAAACUCAGGGCUUAACCCGGAGACGCCAUCCGAUACUGCGCUGACUAGAGUCCGGCAGGGGAGCAUGGAAUUCUUGGUGUAGCGGUGAAAUGCGCAGAUAUCAGGAGGAACACCAGUGGCGAAGGCGGUGCUCUGGGCCGGUACUGACGCUGAGGAGCGAAAGCGUGGGUAGCGAACAGGAUUAGAUACCCUGGUAGUCCACGCCGUAAACGGUGGGCACUAGGUGUGGGACCUACACAAUGGGUUCCGUGCCGUAGCUAACGCGUUAAGUGCCCCGCCUGGGGAGUACGGCCGCAAGGCUAAAACUCAAAGGAAUUGACGGGGGCCCGCACAAGCGGCGGAGCAUGUUGCUUAAUUCGAGGCAACGCGAAGAACCUUACCUGGGUUUGACAUGCACGGAAAAGCUGUAGAGAUACAGUGUCCAUUGGGCCGUGCACAGGUGGUGCAUGGCUGUCGUCAGCUCGUGUCGUGAGAUGUUGGGUUAAGUCCCGCAACGAGCGCAACCCUCGUCCUAUGUUGCCAGCACGUGAUGGUGGGGACUCAUGGGAGACUGCCGGGGUUAACUCGGAGGAAGGUGGGGACGAAGUCAAGUCAUCAUGCCCCUUAUGCCCAGGGCUGCAAACAUGCUACAAUGGCCGGUACAAAGGGUUGCGAUAUCGCGAGGUUGAGCGGAUCCCAUAAAGCCGGUCUCAGUUCGGAUUGGAGUCUGCAACUCGACUCCAUGAAGCCGGAGUCGCUAGUAAUCCCGGAUCAGCAACGCCGGGGUGAAUACGUUCCCGGGCCUUGUACACACCGCCCGUCACACCACGAAAGUUGGCAACACCCGAAGUCAGUGGCCUAACCCUCCCUUCGGGGAAGGAGCUGCCGAAGGUGGGUUG